rnacentral:rRNA from 1 species
AGGUGGCAAGCGUUGUUCGGAUUUACUGGGCGUACAGGGAGCGUAGGCGGUUGGAUAAGCCCUCCGUGAAAUCUCCAGGCUUAACCUGGAAAGUGCAGAGGGGACUGUUCAGCUAGAGGAUGGGAGAGGAGCGCGGAAUUCCCGGUGUAGCGGUGAAAUGCGUAGAGAUCGGGAGGAAGGCCGGUGGCGAAGGCGGCGCUCUGGAACAUUUCUGACGCUGAGGCUCGAAAGCGUGGGGAGCAAACAGG